GAUGAACGCUGGCGGCGUGCCUAACACAUACAAGUCGAGCGGUAUAUAUUGGAAUGAAACUUCGGUCGAGUGAAGAUAUAGAGAGCGGCGGACGGGUGAGUAACGCGUGGGCAACCUGCCUCAUACAGAGGGAUAGCCUCGGGAAACCGGGAUUAAAACCUCAUAAAGCCAUUGAAACAUAAGUGGCAUCACUGAGUUUUGAAAGAAUUUCGGUGGAGGAUGACUUCGCGGCCUAUCAGCUAGUUGGUGAGGUAAUGGCUCACCAAGGCAACGACGGGUAGCCGGCCUGAGAGGGCGACCGGCCACACUGGGACUGAGACACGGCCCAGACUCCUACGGGAGGCAGCAGUGGGGAAUAUUGGGCAAUGGAGGAAACUCUGACCCAGCGACGCCGCGUGCGGGAUGAAGGCCUU
rnacentral:rRNA from 1 species